CCUACGGGGGGCAGCAGUGGGGAAUAUUGGGCAAUGGGCGCAAGCCUGACCCAGCAACACCGCGUGAAGGAAGAAGGCUUUCGGGUUGUAAACUUCUUUUGUCAGGGACGAAGCAGGUGACGGUACCUGACGAAUAAGCCACGGCUAACUACGUGCCAGCAGCCGCGGUAAUACGUAGGUGGCAAGCGUUAUCCGGAUUUACUGGGUGUAAAGGGCGUGUAGGCGGGACUGCAAGUCAGAUGUGAAAACCACGGGCUCAACCUGUGGCCUGCCUUUGAAACUGUAGUUCUUG
rnacentral:rRNA from 1 species